AACAACUCAUGAAGCAACCACUCACAAGAAGGAUAUAGAAGAUGCGCAGAUCUGAGGGCACUUAUCCAAAAGGAAGGAUGGAAGGCACUGUAGGGAACAGAAGCUAAAAUGGACAAAUUGCCAUCAAUCCUUCCAACAGAAGCAUGCUGCAGUUUUAUGUAAAUUGGGAC